AAGGAAAGAGGGGUUGGAGGGGGUGUGGGUCAAGAAUCAUAUAACCAUGGGAAAUAUUCUAAAUAAUAAAAUGGUGGAAAAUAAAUACUUUACAUGAUGACAGAAUAUCAGAGUUGUAUGAGAUCUAAGGGGCCAUCUUGUCUCACCUCUUUCUAAAAAGGAAUCUUCAUUACAACAUGCCUGACAAGUGGGCUUAUAGAGUCUUCUAGAAUUCUUCUUCCAGAGAAAGGUAAUCUGAUACUUUUGGAGGCUUUGAUCUGUGAAAUAGGAAGAGAGGGAGGGAAGGAGGAAGAAAGGAGGGGAAGAAGGAAGACAGGAAAGAAAGAAGGAAGGAAGACAGGAAAGAAGGAAGGAAGGAAGCAAGGAAGGAAGAAAGAAGAAAGGAAAGAAAAAAGAAGCUCCGUCAUAGGAACAAAGAAAGUUUCCAGAUAGUGCCUUGAUAUCUAAGAUCCUUGAGGAGGGAGAUUCCCCUUCCAAACAAUAACUACUCUCUUCCCUCUUCACCAUCUUCCAUAUGCCAAGAAGAGUCUUCAGAAGAGUGA
rnacentral:lncRNA from 1 species